rnacentral:rRNA from 1 species
GAUGAACGCUGGCGGCGUGCUUAACACAUGCAAGUCGAACGAAGCAUUUACGACAGAUUCCUACGGUUUGAAGUCUUUUAUGACUGAGUGGCGGACGGGUGAGUAACGCGUGGGUAACCUGCCUCAUACAGGGGGAUAGCAGCUGGAAACGGCUGGUAAUACCGCAUAAGCGCACAGUACCACAUGGUCCAGUGUGAAAAACUCCGGUGGUAUGCGAUGGACCCGCGUCUGAUUAGCUUGUUGGCGGGGUAACGGCCCACCAAGGCGACGAGCAGUAGCCGAGGUGUGAGGGUGGCCGGCGACAUUGAGGCUGGGAAGCGGCCGAGACUCCUACGGGAGGGAGGAGAGGGGAAUAUAGCACAGUGGAGGAAACGCUGAUGCAGCGAGGCCGGGAGAGUGAAGAAGUAGGUCGCUAUGUGAUGCUCGCUCAGCAGGGAAGAUAGUGACGGUACCUGAAUAAGAAGCACCGGCUAACUACGUG